AUAAAAGGAAGGCAAUCUAAGUUCGCCGCGUCCUGCGGCAACAAUUGCAUGACCCACGUCCUGUGGG
rnacentral:sRNA from 1 species